rnacentral:rRNA from 1 species
AUUGAACGCUGGCGGCAGGCCUAACACAUGCAAGUCGAACGAGUGGCGGACGGGUGAGUAAUGUCUGGGAAACUGCCCGUUGGAGGGGGAUAACUACUGGAAACGGUAGCUAAUACAGCAUACCAUCGGAUGUGCCCAGAUGGGAUUGGCUAGUAGGUGGGGUAACGGCUCACCUAGGCGCCGAUCCCUAGCUGGUCUGAGAGGAUGACCAGCAACACUGGAACUGAGAAACGGGCCAGACUCCAACGGGAGGCAGCAGUGGGGAAUAUUGCACAAUGGGCGCAAGCCUGAUGCAGCCAUGCCGCGUGUAUGAAGAAGGCCUUCGGGUUGUAAAGUACUUUCAGCGAGGAGGCGUUACUCGCAGAAGAAGCACCGGCUAACUCCGUGCCAGCAGCCGCGGUAAUUC